rnacentral:rRNA from 1 species
GACGUAGGGCGCGAGCGUUGUCCGGAUUUAUUGGGCGUAAAGAGCUCGUAGGCGGCCUGUCGCGUCGGAUGUGAAAGCCCGGGGCUUAACCCCGGGUCUGCAUUCGAUACGGGCAGGCUAGAGUGUGGUAGGGGAGAUCGGAAUUCCUGGUGUAGCGGUGAAAUGCGCAGAUAUCAGGAGGAACACCGGUGGCGAAGGCGGAUCUCUGGGCCAUUACUGACGCUGAGGAGCGAAAGCGUGGGGAGCGAACAGG